rnacentral:rRNA from 1 species
CCUACGGGUGGCAGCAGUGGGGAAUAUUGGGCCAUGGAGGCAACUCUGACCCAGCAACGCCGCGUGAAUGAUGAAGGUCUUCGGAUUGUAAAGUUCUUUUCUAAGGGAAGAAGAUAGUGACGGUACCUUAGGAAUAAGCCUCGGACAACUACGUGCCAGCAGCCGGCGUAAUACGUAGGAGGCAAGCAGUAUUCGGAAUGACUGGGCGGAAAGGGUGCGUAGGUGGUUUGACAAGUUAGUAGCGCAACUCCGGAGCUCAACUUCGGAACUACUGCUAAAACUGUUGGACUAGAGUGCAGGAGGGGCAAUCGGAAUUCCUAGUGUAGCGGUGGAAUGCGUAGAUAUUAGGAGGAACACCAGAGGCGAAGGCGGAUUGCUAGACUGUAACUGACACUGAGGCACGAAAGCGUGGGGAGAAAACAGGAUUAGAUAGCCGAGUAGUC